rnacentral:tRNA from 1 species
CCCUCAGUGGUGCAAACAAGUUAUGCACUUGGCUGCUAACCAAAAGAUUGGUGGUUCAAGUCCACUCAGAGGCA